rnacentral:rRNA from 1 species
UACGUAGGCAGCAAGCGUUGUUCGGAGUUACUGGGCGUAAAGGGUGUGUAGGCGGUUCCUUAAGUUUGCUGUGAAAUCUCCCGGCUUAACCGGGAGGGUGCGGUGAAUACUGAGGGACUAGAGUACGGGAGAGGAAAGUGGAAUUCCUGGUGUAGCGGUGAAAUGCGCAGAUAUCAGGAGGAACACCAAUGGCGAAGGCAGCUCGCUGGGACGGUACUGACGCUGAGGCGCGAAAGCGUGGGGAGCAAACAGG